rnacentral:lncRNA from 1 species
CUAAAAGUUAAAUUCAUAUCCUAAACCUUCAAUUCAUAUUCACAAAAGUUCAAGUCAUAUCCUAAAGGUUCAACUCAUAUCGUAAAAAGUUCAAGUCAUAUCGUACAAUUUCAAUUUAUAUCGUACAAGUUCAAUUCACAAGAACAAAACCUAAAAACUAAAAGUUCAUCAAUUCUUAUCCUACGAGUUUAAGCAUAAACUAAAAGUUCAAUUUAUAUCCUAAAGGGUCAAUUCAUAUCCACAAAAAUUCAAGUCAUAUCCUAAAAAUUCAACUCAUAUCCUAAAAGUUUCAAUUUAUAUCCUACAAGUUCAAUUCACAAGAACAAAACCUAAAAACUAAAAGUUAUAUUCAUAUCCUACAAGUUUAAACAUAAACUAAAAGUUCAAGUCAUAUCCUAAAGGUUCAAUACAUAUGCUAAAGGUUCAAUUUAUUUCCUAAAAGUUCAACACAUAUUAUAAAGGUUCAACUCAUAUCGUAAAAAGUUCAAGUCAUAUCGUAAAAUUUCAAUUUAUAUCGUACAAGUUCAAUUCACAAGAACAAAACCUAAAAACUAAAAGUUCAUCAAUUCUUAUCCUACGAGUUUAAACAUAAACAAAAAGUUCAAUUUAUAUCCUAAAGGUUCAAUUCAUAUCCACAAAAGUUCAAGUCAUAUCCUAAAAUUUCUAUUUAUAUCCU